GGCGAUCAGAUACCGCCCUAGUUCUAACCGUAAACGAUGACAACCAGCGAUUAGUCGGCGUUAAUAUAAGACCCGACUAGCAGCUUCCGGGAAACCAAAGUUUUUCGUUUCCGGGGGAAGUAUGGUUGCAAAGCUGAAACUUAAAGGAAUUGACGGAAGGGCACCACCAGGAGUGGAGCCUGCGGCUUAAUUUGACUCAACACGGGAAAACUCACCCGGCCCGGACACCGUAAGGAUUGACAGACUGAGAGCUCUUUCUUAAUUCGGUGGGUGGUGGUGCAUGGCCGUUCUUAGUUGGUGGAGCGAUUUGUCUGGUUAAUUCCGAUAACGAACGAGACUCUGGCCUAUUAAAUAGACGGUAUAUCUAGAAAAAGUAUACCGCGCUUCUUAGAGGGACAACCGGCUUCUAGCCGCGUGAAAUAGAGCAAUAACAGGUCUGUGAUGCCCUUAGAUGUCCGGGGCUGCACGCGCGCUACACUGAAAGAAUCAGUAUGCGCCGUCGCCUAGUUCGGAAGAACCGGGUAACCCUAGCAAAUUCUUUCGUGCUUGGGAUAGGGAAUUGCAAUUAUUUCCCUUAAACGAGGAAUUCCCAGUAAAUGCGGGUCAUAAGCUCGCGUUGAUUACGUCCCUGCCCUUUGUA
rnacentral:rRNA from 1 species